UGCGCGAUACGCAGUAUUGCGCCGCCAUUUGUAAUGGCCUUAUGUUUACGCGGGAAUAACAACGGUCGAGUGAUGCAUGCUCAGCACAGUUCAUUAUGAUUGAUCAGAGACAUUUGGUAUACGAUUGAACGUUUAAACAACAGUGUUUUGCGUAAUUGUUGUACAUACAAGAUGUGCUUUGAUCGAGUGUGCAGGUUAUAUGAGUCGUUUCGUACGGUGUCGAUUACUCACGAUGUAGAGGUUAUGAAUCGUGAAACUAAACGACCGAUGCAUAUUUUGCUUUUGCGAAUGUGCAAAUGCGAACGAAAUUUACGUUAAAGAUCUUUGGCUGCGGAUUUGAUGCAGGUUGGGAUCUUCACAAAUCUACAAAUUAGACUAAUGCCUCAGGUUUUGUUAUAAAAAUAUUUUAAUAUACAAAUCCUGUAUAUUAAAACUUUUGAAAGCUUAAAAAAAAGCUUGAUUAUAGCACAUCAGUAAUUAAGUCAAUGAUCAAAGGGAUACGAUGGGAAAACAAUUAUAUAAUUCAGGAUAUUGAAGCAAACUAUCAUUAGCAUUUAAAAGCAGUCUCGAACAAUGCUGUUUAAACAACAAGAUAGUAUUACAAACACAUACAGUUGUUAGUUAGGAGGCUGCGAUACAGAUAGAAAAAUUUGAAAACAGAAUCUUUGCAGUAAAUUUUCUUUACAUCUCGGAAAUAACUUCACAUAAUCUCAGAAUAAAGAUCUUCAAAAACUGGACCUGUUGGACAAAUCUUUAAACACAACAUAUCUAUUUUCUUUUUUGACAAUAAACGUGUAUUAAUACUAACAUAAUUACGUCUAAUCUAUUUUAUUUUUUCAGAAAGUGACAAAGAGAUGUAAAAUAAUAAUGUAACAUUUAUAUAAAUAAAUGAGAAAAAAAAUAUUUUUUAGGAUGAGAAUAUGUAUUUCACAAAUGUAUUUUUCUCUUAUUACGUAUUAUUACAUGUGUUGUAUAUUAUUUUGUUAUACGUAAAAAUAUUUUGCUAUAGUUUUGCUAUAGUUGUUU
rnacentral:lncRNA from 13 species